CGGCUGGACCGGAGACAGGUGCUGCAUGGCUGUCGUCAGCUCGUGUCGUGAGAUGUUGGGUUAAGUCCCGCAACGAGCGCAACCCCCGUCCUUAGUUGCUACCAUUUAGUUGAGCACUCUAAGGAGACUGCCGGUGAUAAGCCCGCGAGGAAGGUGGGGAUGACGUCAAGUCCUCAUGGCCUUACGGCUGGCUACACACGUGCUACAAUGGCGGUGACAAUGGAUGCUAAGGGCGACCCUUCGCAAAUCUCAAAAAGCCGCUCAGUUCGGAUUGGCUCUGAACUCNGCCAUGAAGUUGGAAUCGUAGUAACCGGGAUCACACCCCACGGGAAUACGUUCCCGGCCUUGACACACCGCCGUACACCAUGGAAGUUGUUUUACCUGAAGACGGUGCGCUAACCGAAAGGGGCAGCCGGCCACGGUAGGGUCAGCGACUGNGGUG
rnacentral:rRNA from 1 species